UACAGAGGGUGCAAGCGUUGUUCGGAAUUAUUGGGCGUAAAGCGCGUGUAGGCGGCUUUGCAAGUCGGGUGUGAAAGCCCUCAGCUUAACUGAGGAAGUGCGCCCGAAACUGCAGGGCUUGAGUACCGGAGAGGGUGGCGGAAUUCCCCAAGUAGAGGUGAAAUUCGUAGAUAUGGGGAGGAACACCGGUGGCGAAGGCGGCCACCUGGACGGAUACUGACGCUGCGACGCGAAAGCGUGGGUAGCAAACAGG
rnacentral:rRNA from 1 species